GGUAGCGUGGCCGAGCGGUCUAAGGCGCUGGUUUAAGGCACCACUCUCUUCGGGGGCGUGGGUUCGAAUCCCACCGCUGCCA
rnacentral:tRNA from 1 species